UACGAAGGGGGCUAGCGUUGCUCGGAAUCACUGGGCGUAAAGGGUGCGUAGGUGGCGCGUUAAGUCCGUUGUGAAUCCCUUGGCUCAACCAAGGAACUGCUUCGGAUACUGGCGUGCUUGAGGCUAGUAGGGGUCACUGGAACUGACGGUGGAGCGGUGAAAUGCGUAGAUAUCGUCAGGAACGCCGAUGGUGAAGACAGGUGACUGGGCUAGUUCUGACACUGAGGCACGAAAGCGUGGGGAGCGAACGGG
rnacentral:rRNA from 1 species